AGAUGAUCUUCCAGCAUAAACCAUUCCAUGUUUCUGUGACUCCUGGGUCUUGGGGAGCUCAUGGAGUCCCAAGUUCUCUGGUUCUAUAAACUGCAGCCUGAAUGAGUCCCUAAUGACUCUCUCAUGUGCCUCCUUCUCCAGCGCAUCCCAGAGCAAAUGUUUUGUACUUAAUAAGAUACCUACAUUCAGUAUUUGAUAUAUCUGAAUUUCAUCAUACUUCAUCCACUAUAGACAUCAUGAAAAAUAAAACAACAUUAUUUUGCAGUUUUACUGUAAAUGGUUUGAAAUAUUAUACCUAGAAAUAAACAGGCUUUAUAAUUAAUAUAGCUGUACAUUAAUAUAUCAAUACAAUGUUAAUUAUAAUAUAGUUUUCAUUAUACAGGCACUUAUACACAUGCAGCUGCUUGGCUGCAUACACAAAUCGUUUGUAUGAUUAUGUGUGCCUACAAAUUUGUGACAGCUGCAAUGCUGGUUGCAGGAUAGAAGAACUGGAAUUUAAAUGCUGGAGAAAAUAUGCAAAUGCCUGAGAAACAGGAAGAGCUCAAAGUGCUUUGCAGGCUGAAAACAGUUGAAGAGCCCAUGGUGCUUCUCUUACCCAGGCUCACACAGGAGCCACCCAACCAGCUCCGCAGGAAUUGUUAAGAGAAAUCUCUCUCGUUUUGUUUUCAGUUCUAAACUAACAAUCUGCCCAUUUGCAUAUCUAAAUUCUCCGGUGCUGUAGCAGGAAUGUGGCUGCUGCCAUGGGAGGCUGGUGUGAAUUGCUGAGGAUCUGCCACAUUGCAUUAUGCAUUUUGUUGUUGUUUUAAUGAAUAAAUUCCAGAGAAGGCAAUCAGUAAUUAGCUGCAAUAUGGCACGGUCGGGAGCAGUGAGGAGACACUAACUCGAUCUGAAGGACUCAUCUGUAGAACUUCCAGAACCGCAGCCCAGUCGUCACCACACACUGGAGGGAAUCGUUGGCAGCGUUUCACUGUGUUAUUUGCCAAAAAGGUUCCUUUGGAAGAUAGAAAUGAAUUGGAAACGUGGGGAUUCACUGUGAUACACCUGCCACAGAAAGCGAAAUAUCCUGAGGGGUCUGUUCCUUGUCCCUGGCAGCUUCACCAGUGGGGAGCAGCUGCACAUCUGUUCCAUGGGCAGUGGCUGCCUGUGGAGCCCAGAGCAGCAGCGGUGUCGCUGUGUCCCACCGCAGAGACGGAGAGCAGGACCCUGCGCCAGGACGAGCCAAAGCUUGGUCUUGUCUGAGAAGAAAUAUCAGAAGCUGCUGCUGACCGGCACAAUAGCAAUAAAUAUAUAAUACAGAAGGAGGAGAGGAAAAAAUUUAGGAAGAUGCUGGACUGCCCGAGAACGUUCCCAAAACGCCGCUACUUGGAUGCUCCUCAAAGGGGUUUGGCUGCAGCAGGAACAUCCAUUGGCAGCCUUUUGCCUCAGAAACCAAUGCGGUGCUUACAGGUACUGAAGUUCUGUGCUGGAGACAACAGCAGAGGCUUGUGAGAGCAGUCGCUUCAUGACACCUUCCCCUCCUGGUGAGAAGCCCAGCAGACUUGGUAUGAAAAUUGAUGAGAUCCAUGAAGGUACACAAGGGAGGCGUUUCCCAUCCCUACAGCCAAGCUCUCCCAUCAGCUGUUGGUCCUGGAAGGGGAGGAGAGGGGGAGAGUGCCUCACUGCCAUUUCUGGAGCCGGACUACCAAGGAUAUAAAUCAAAUCCUUAUGAUGAGGGAGCAUCACGUGGGAAACACAGACUUUGAGAGAGAUUUUAGUGGAGAGAAGGAGUCAAAGGGACGGGGCUGAUGAACUGUGCUCAUUAACCUGACUGAUGGGAAUGGUAUUGACGCCGGGGCUGUGCAGACUUCAAACGCGGUUGCUGUGGCUGGGCUCGGAGCCCUGCUCUGGAAAAAAGGUGGAAUUACUUCAGCCAUUGAUGCAAGGUCUGCAGUGAGAGGCUCAUCUGCAGCUGCAAUUCCUGCAUAAUCUCCAGAGCAGCGAGGGUAGAGAGUUUAAGAAGAAAUCUCUGCAGUAACACGGAGAAACACAACCUGAUAACUCCUGACAGAUUGAUGGCUUCUUCCUUCAUCUAAAUCUUUAUAGAUUAGCACGUCUGUUUCCUUUUCAUGGAUAUGUUUGUUAGCACUGUAUCAUGUAACCUAAUCUGUGUGGGAAGUUAUUUAUCCAGGGGCUGGGGGGCAUUUAUACCAUUCACUUGUCACCAAGAAUAAUGGAGAGGACAGGUAAGAUAAUUCCAGCUGUUUUAAGGGCUGAGAGAUGACUGUUUAUGUUUUGAUAAUGGGAUACUCAGGGUGAAGGAUCUGAAAUGGUUUUGUAACAUAUUUGCUGAAAACACACAUUUAAAAUGUCUUUUGUUCCUUUUAUUCCUCUGUUUCAUGAGGGCGCCUGGGGUUGCUCUGGGAGAAGGAGACAUCAAUUGUCACUUUGGGGUGGCCCAAGAGACUUGGGAGGAAAGAUAUGAGAGUGCCUGAGAGUCUCCUGUUCCCUGUGGUUUGCUCCAACCCGUGGGUUCCCAGUGCCCUCUGCUGUGAUGGGGACACAGCCUUGGGCAGGGGGGAUGUCCUUGGGCACGGCUGGCACCGGGACUGUCACAGCGUUCCCAGGAGCAAAGCUUCUUUGCAGGUCAGACUCUGUUUCAGAGCUGCUGUUUCCUAUUCAGGCACCGAAGGAGCCUUUCCUGCCAUCCUGCUGCUUCCCCAGAUGUUCUCCAUUUUCUGCCUGUGCAGUGAUUUCUCCUCUCUAGGCAUCCUGUAACUGCCUUCAUCUCACUGAUUUCACAGCACUCCCACGGCAUCAAGAGCACUUUGAAUUCUGGUCCUGUCCUCUAGAGCUCUCACAAUCACUCCCAGCCUCCCAUCACCCACAAAUGAUAUCAGCAUCUCCUCUGCUCCAGCCCAGAAGGCAGCAGGAGCUCCCCGAGGGUGUCCAUCAGCGUCUCAUCUUCACAGGGGACACCGGUGACUGUCCUGGGGCUGCUGAUGUUCAACGGGCUUCCUUCUGACCUUAUGACACUUUAUUUAGACUGUGCUUUUUGGGUUUCCCUUGUGAGUGUGUUUGAGGGCCACUUGCUCGCCCUGACACACCGUGUGUCACACGCCCUUGGUGGUGGCCUCUGGGGCCUUCUCUCCCUCCAUGCCCUCCACUUCCCUGACCAAGCCCUCCUUAAGUUGCAUUUUGUGUUUUGUGAUUUAUUCUCGAGAAAUUUACAAACUUCUGCUGGCUCUGUCUCCUGGGCCGCCAUCUAAUCUUCCAGGCGAUGACAACUUGAUUGGUGAAUAAUAGAUUCCAGUCUCUUCCCAGCUGCUGAAUGGAGCUAUAAUUUCAAAACGCAUCCUUGAAGAUGGAACAGAGCUUGUCCUUCUCCAGGGGUUGGUCUUUAAUCUGCCCAGUUGUCUUUUCAGUAUUGAAAACUUCUUUUCAUUGUAAUAUGCAAAAGAAAUUACCUGGAAAUGAGCCAUUUACCUUGUAUUAGUGUGUAGAUUAGGGGCCCAGUGUUUUGGGUGCUGCAGAAAGCCUGUAAGUGAUAUUACCUGCUCUGGAAAACUUUAAUAUUAAGCAGGCAAGGUAAGCAACUGAGAGGACUGAAAACAGACACAAGGGGAUUAACUGAAUUGCUGAGGCAUGGAUCAGUGUCACAACAGAGAUUAAAAGUCAGUCUCUCUGAAAUCCAGAACAAAACUUUGCUGUUGCUCUGAUGGCAUUUUUUGAUGGGCUGUGGAAAAUACAGAAAAAUGAAACUGGUCCCUUGAAAACAUUCCAAGUUGAAGAAUAACAUGAAAUGUGAUUUUAUCAUUUAAAAAAUGGUGAUCUAAAAAAUUCACUAAAAUCCCAAUAAGGACUCUCAGAAUGGAAUUUUUUUUUUUUUUUUUUUUUUUUUUUUUUUU